CCAUUAGCUUUGGGUGCUGGUAGUGGAGCUGUUGCUUCUUCCUUGAGUCUUAGGGAGGGUCAGGUA
rnacentral:tRNA from 1 species